CAAGGAACUAAUUAUAGCUAGAUAAACUAGUCUUGCUCAGUAUCUAGAUCAUACAGAGAGGUAUGAUGAUAAUGAUAUGGCUCCUUGAGACAUUUCUCCGAUUGUUUGUUGCAGUGGAAGCCUUUUCUCCAAAGUAGCCAUCACCAGCUUUGAAGGACUAUCUGUGUGUAGGCAUAACAGCUUCAUCAGGUUUACAAGUUUAUUUUACAGUAAACAGUUAGUGACUACCCUCUUAAGCCGAAGAAGAUACAACAUAUGUAAUUAUCUUUUUGAUCAAUACUUUCACCCUCAGAAGAAUAUGGCACACUUUUUACCUAAUGAACAUCAAGGAAGAAAAGCUUAUCUUAAUUUCUCUUUUUACUUGUUAGAGAGAAUGGAACACAAUUUAUAUGGAAUUGAUAACAACUCAAUUAUAUCCCAGUCAUCUACAGACAUGAACAAACCUAAUACAAAGAACAAACGGCCUAGAACUUUCAUCCUAAUGUUUAGUAACCUCAGAUAACUACAGUCAAAUUAUUUGACAUGUAAGACAGUAUGGUAUCUCAUGGCUACAGUUGUUUUUGCCCGAUAGUAAUGCACGGAGUAACUACGUGAAUUCGACAAGAAACCAAUAUAAUAAAAAAAUAACUCAAUGACUCAGCUUGUUGGGAAUCUAAAACCAGAGUUAGACCUGUCAAAAGGCUCAGCAAAUAUGGCACGCCAGAAAGGAGGUUGUCAGGCAUUAAAUCUAAUGGAGGUGUAGGAAGUUGAAACUGGGACUCUCCAAAUGAUGUAGCUGUCAAAACAAACAUUUUUGACAGAAGUAUCAAGAAUGAAUAUCACUAUACAAAAUGUUAAAUAUCCGACCAGUACAUUCAGAGUCGCCCUCAACACUUAACAGUGUUAUUGUUGAACAUACUCCUCACCUGGAUUAGCCAAAAUCAACACGAGAUCGAUAUCAUGGUUACAGGCAGCAACAGCUAGUGCUAAGCAUCCACCAAAAGAUUCUCCGACAAGAUAUAUUGGCCUAUUUGGCGUGCGUUGGUUCUCCAAUCUAACAGUUCUUUCAACCAGUUUCACCAAUUCUGAUCAAUAAGAGAUCGAAGAAGUAGAAUAUUAGUGUUGAAUGGCUGAGGUAUAUCUGGAACUACUAACAGGGUACCAAUAUCACAGAAAGGUCCUUAAAUGACUAUAAUAAGCCUACUCAUUAAUCAUCACAAAAUUUGACAAAAAAAAAAUGACUCUGUUAUGCUUAUGUAAUAAAGAGAUGGGAAACGACCUGGAAAUGGUGUCCGGUCAUCAAUAGGAAUAUGCAAGCACCAUAUAUUAAAGAUCCUUAAGAGGAACAAAAGAAACAAGAAUAAACAUAAUCAUAAUCAUAUACCAUAUAAACAAUUAUACAAGUAUAGUAACUGUUAGCAUUUUGCAAUAUCAUUCUUAAAUUGCCAAAUGGUAAAUUACAAAAUUUAGAUAGCGUCCAGAGUGCUAAUGAACUUACUGUCCAAGUCUUUGAUAUUGCAAAGAAAGUCCAAGUCCAACUCCAUCAAGACCUGCAAUGUUAAAUUUAUUACUACUCGUAUAUGUUAAAAUAUAAGUAUAAAAUCCAUAAAGAGGCCUCAUCUAACACCUUAAGGUUUUAGAUGGAAUGAACACUUAAGUAAUAAUUUAUCCAUGCGAAAAACACACAAAUAAAUUUUCGUCCCGCGACAAGUGAUCAGUUCUCCUAGAAACGAGCGUUUCAUAUGGUUAAAUUAAACAAGUCAUAGACACGUUAUAAAAUAUUUAAAAUAGGGAACCUGGUAAAGAGAGCAAGAGAGGAGAGUUUUCCGGUGUGGAAGAGCACUCCAACGGGGAAAACCAACGUGGCGGACCACCGUCUGAUGAUGUCAGCAAAUGUUUGGAGUGUUCCAAGUAGUCCUUGAAGCUCCGACGCUCCAUUUCCUCGUUUUUAUCACCUGCUUUUUUGGACAGGGAACUAGUCGUGUUUCUUGCACUAAUUUCUUUAGUAGCUGAAAUAGAUAGCUUCCGCUUCCGCCGGAAAGUUGUUGUCGUCGGCAGAACGCGGGGAAGACUAACCGGAUAGUAACCUGAAGCUGGAACUACACUUACGCCGCCGGCCAUUAUCAGUGUUUACGCGUGUAAAAUCGUCCUGCAAGUCUGUCUGUAUGUUAUUAACUAUACACACGCCAUAUCUUCAGAAAAAAUGCUUUAUAUAUAGUAGUACUUACAAAAUCUUUUACGUUAUGUCUGUGAUUGAGAUGAAUGAUGCCCCCGUAAUGAAAAAUGAAUUAUAUUUAAUUUAAUUGAGGUGAAUGAUUCGUAAUGAAAAAUGAAUUAUGUUUAAUUGGGGUUAAUGAUUCUGAGAUAAAUAGAAUAAAAAAAAAUUAUAUUACAUCUCACAUUCCGUUAGAGAUAACAAUGAUUGAGGUAAAUAAUCCGGAACGAAUGAAAUGAAAAAUAAACUAUAUUAUGAUCGAUCAUUUUCAUCCCAUUUGUUAUAUCACAUACUCUUUCAAUUUCUUCUCGAAUUUCAUUAUAACGAUUUUGCACUAAUUUAAUUUUUUUUUUCAAAACUUUCCUCUAAUCUCUAUCGAUCGCAAGUAACUUUACUAGUUUCAUUCAAUUCUAUUUAAUUCUUCCCAACCAAAAAUAACAUUAUAAAAUAAUAUCACAUAAAUAAACAGCAUUAGGUAAUAUAUCUCAACUUCAUUAUUUUUUUAUCGAAUUUUGUGUAUGUAAUAUUAGUGAAAAAUGUAUUAUAGCAGGAAAAUAUUUCAUAUAUAAAAUUGAGUACAAAAACUUCCAUGUAAAAAAAUGUUCAUACAUAAAAUUUAGUACAAAAUUUUUCAUAAAAUGAUAUGUGAUGAAUUUUAAUUAGAAUGAGUCUUUAUAUUCACAUAAACUAUUAAUUAAUACAUUUCAUCUUAAUUAUCUGGGAAAAUAGAUUUUUUUGCCACUCAACUUAUAGUGUUUUUAGAAACUUACCACCCAACUAAUUUUUUUAUUCUUUUAGUCACUAAUGUUAGGUUUGGUUUUGUUUUUAGCCACCAGCUUAGGUUUGGAUUUGAUUACUAGCAUUAUGAUAAUUUUUUGUAUCAUCAUUUAUACAUAGUGAUAGUAUCUAAUAUUUUGAUGAUGUGUCGUAUGUUUAUAUCCUUAUAUAUAGCAAUAGUAAUAUAAAAUGAGCCGAUGAAAAAUUAAAAUCAGGAAUAAUAGUAAUUAGAUUCUAAAAAUUCAAUAAAUCAUGAAUAUGAAAUCAAUGACUUCAAACAAUUCACCCUCUCUCAUAAGAUAAAGUGUAAUUGAGUGAUAUGACGCAUCAUCUUUCGCUAUUAAACUUUCAAUGGACUAGCUCAGUCUAAGAUCUUUCUUAAAUUUAUCUUCAAAAAUUUUAAUAACUUUAUCUUAUUACAAUUUUCGAGAUAAAUAAAUAGAGAGGAAAACUUAAUUUUCGAUAAUUGUCCUCUAUAUAUAAUGCAUCAUUUUAUAUUAUUAUUACUCCCUCCGUCCCUUUCAUUAGUUUACAAAUUUUCUCUAGUGCUUAGCAUGUAUUUAAGAUUCUUAUAAAACAUAGUUUCAUAACUUAUUUUUGUGUGUAAAAAUUCAAACGCUGAAUUUUCAUUCGGAAGAAAAAAAAUAAAGUUAUAUAUGAAACUACAUCUUUUAAAGGCCAUAUAAUGCGUGUAAAAUUCUUAUCAUCCAAGGUAAGCGACCUUGAAGACAUAAAAAGUACUACAUAUAAAAAUACAAACAUAUAUCAAAUCAUCAAAAUAUUACCGACUACCACUAUAUUUUAAUAAUGAUACACAUAAAAUGUAAUGCUAAUAAUCAAAUCUGAACCUAACUUCAGUGACAAAAAAAAAAGCUAAAUCUAACACUAGUGAGUAAAAUAAAAAAAUUAUAGUUCAGUGGUUAGUUUCUAAAAACGCAAUAAGUUUAGUGAUAAAAAAAUUAUCAUAAUGCUGGUAAUCAAAUCCAAACCUAAAUUGGUGGCUAAAAAUAAAACCAAACCUAACAUUAGUGACUAAAAGAAUAAAAAAAUUAGUUGGGUGGUAAGUUUCUAAAAACACUAUAAGUUGAGUGGCAAAAAAAUCUAUUUUCCCUAAUUAUCUUGGUUUUAUAAAAUUUUGUAUCUGAAUCUUAUGCAUGUAUCAUUGUUCAUCACAGCAGACUCUGUUGAUGGGAAUUUGGCAGCGCCCCUCAGAUUGGUUACUUGUUCCACCGGAAAAGCUUUUCUCACCCCAAAAUUUAAGGAUUUAUUUCCUUUUUAAAAAAUAUAUAUUUUUAUUUUAUUCAAAAUAUAUAUAUUUAUUUAUAAUUUUUAUAAACAUAAAUAUCAAAGAGAUAUUUCUUUUAAUAAACUAAUAAAAAUUUAUUUCAGAAAAAAUUAUAAUAAUAUAUUUUUUUUUCUAAAAAAGCCUCGUAUUUUUCAAAAAUAAAUUCAACCAAAUUUCCCCUUCAUUUCUUUUUUUUAUUUUUCUAGCCCACCAGUCACUUCACAAAGUCACAAUUGACAGCUCCUUUUGACAACAAAACUAUCUACUUUUUUUCAUAAAUAAAGUGUGGCCUCAUUUGUAUAAUUUAUUACUAUUAUAAUUGAACAAGUUUGUUAGCAGAAAAAAGAGGUUGUCUCGUUUCCUUCAGUUGUGAGAGUGACAGUCCGGCAUGUGUCUAAUUUAGUAUUCUAAAUUAAAAUUUGGAAUAAUUGAUAAAAAUAAAAUUUAUUGUUAAAACAUAUUUUAUCUACCUUAGUUUCAAGACUGCUUUACUCAAGUGUUAUUUUAAUUUUAAUAAUAAAAUAUUUUUAUUAUUUCUUCUCUUUUUACACUUCUUUCCCCAAUUACAUUUCAAAUAGAUUAAUAUUUUAAUAAUAAGAUUUGUGCAUAAAAAUUCUUGUUAGAGUGAUGUACAAAAUGAUAUCCUAAACUAGUGCACUUGGAACAAAAAUAAUACUUUAGUGUAUAUAUGAAAAUUGCAGUAUACAUCUCUUUGCUAGAAUAUACACUGCAGUACACACCUCUCAAAUCUGAUUCCGUUAAAUAUCCACAUUAUCGUCAAUUUAAUCGGAAAUAAGUCUCGAAAAUAUUGUAGACUCAAUGCUAUGCAUAAUUACCACAAUAUUGUUAUGCACCUGGAACAUCCAUAUUCCUUUUAAGAGAUUCGAAAUUAAAAGUUUGUAAUUAUAUGUGUUGAUGAAUGCAGUUUUGUUCAAAGGAAACAAUGGAAUGAUAUCAAGUAACAAUACCAUUCAUGAUAAUACUUUUCCUUGAGCAAAUAUGUUUAUUACACUUGUACUUUCUCAACAAACUUGCGAGCUAGGUGCCAGCUGUUACAAAGUGUAUGUACAAGUGGAAUGAUAUGUUCAACAGAGGCAACCUCACAAAUGUUGUGCUACAAAAUUACAGUCCCCGGGGAGGAUACAUGCAAACAGUUAGAUUAAUAGUUAAGUUUCUACACUACGAUGGUUUAAGAAUGUCUAUGAGUAUAUCAAUGAAUUAAUACACUAGAACCGGAAAGUCAAUCUACACUAGGCUUGUGUUAACGCGGAAGGAAAGUUCACCUUUGAUGAUGAAUAUGAUCAAAGUGAAAAUGUUGGGACUUCAGCGUCAGGGCCAUGUAUUGCUUGAUAAACCUGCCGAGCUAGUAUACUCCUGUAAGGGUCCUUUUUUCGCUUCUCCUUGAGAUAUGCAAGACAGUUUUCAACCUCAGACUUCACCUCUAGAGACCCUUCAUCUGAUUUUUCUUUACUCCUUAGUUCUUGCUUCCUCCCUACACCAAAAAUAAUAAAUUACAGAGAGAUGUGAGCAAUCAGGCAGAAAACAGCAUGUGUUCUACUUCUGUCACACACAUAGAAAAACAGGCAGUCUAAAACAUAAGAAUUAGCUACAGGUAAGACUCUAUCUUAAGACAAUGUCAGAGUUACACUUGUAUGUCCUAAUUAGACAUAACAGCCGGAGGACUUGGUAGAAGUGUACAUAACUUCAUAGCGGACCAGGAACCCUCAUUGCUUGUUAUACGUGAUGCGAGUUAGACAUAUAAGACUAGUUUAAGUCCCUCUGAGGUUUGUUUGGUAACUUUACCUUCUGUUUCGAUUGGCUUUCCAAAUAAAAAGUAAAAACGCCCUGGAACUUUUGGUACUAAUAUUGGAAGGUGCAAGUCUUGAUUUGCAAUCUCUCCUGGACUGUCAGUUCUGUCAUUUCCAAAAAUAUUACAUUCUUAGUGAAUAAACAUGAAAAGAAACAAGACAACAAAUCAAACUAUAUCAAGACAAGAAGCACGGUAAUAUACUCCCUCCGUCCCUCUAUAUAGCACAGAAAUAUUGAAAUUGAUAGGAAGAUUAAAUCCAGAAUUUUAGCUUAUUAUCCACUUUAGGCCACUCUACUCCUUAGGAUUACAGCUUAUUAUGGAAUUAAUUCUAGUCAACCUUUCCUCUUGUUUGAUUGGAAAAUGUGAUUUCUCUCUCAGGCAGGACUAGGAGGGCUAACCUAGGGCCUCGCUUCCAGUCCCAACUGGUGUUCGAAAUCAAUAAUAAUAAGAAGAAGAAAUUUAGCUGGCGUUUGUCUUCCAAAACAGCAGUAGAAACUCCUAUGACCCGUUAUAUUGACUGUCGGUUCCAAACUUGAAGUUGGGUCCUUUUUUCAAUCGAAAACAAUAAAAGAGUACAGAAUAUAAGAAAUGAACAACAUACCUCAACUUUCUAAAAGACUCAUUGAAUUCCUUAUAAUAUGAUCGAAGAAAGGGGAUCUUAAUUUGGUCAUCAUAGUCAAGAAGCAACUGCAGGAGAAAAUAUAGUUGUCAUUCAUCACAUUAUCUAAUUAGGAAUAGAGAACUCAACUGAAUGCAGUGCUCACCCAGCAUCUAUAUCUAUUGAAUAUUUGACAUCAUAUAUGUAGCAGCUGCAUAGCAAACAGUAGAGCUGCUAAAGGACAGGGUUCAGUGAUUCUAACUUUGUUCUCAUUCUUUGGAACUUGUAUCAGACACAUUUUUCCAAUUAUAACAUAAUCUACAUCAUGAAAAAAUGUUUCUUGACAUACUGCUAGCACUCAUAAUUCAUAAAGAUAAGCUUAAAAAUAUAUAAAUUUAUUGCCAUCAAAAGAAUCAAUCUUCAAAAAGGCAGCAACUUGUUUUAAGGUACGUUUCACAUAUGAACAUGAUUAUAAUCUGCAUUUUAUGGCCUGUUUGGGAACUUGGAUUUCAUUUGAAAUCCAGGAUUUGAUCAAAUGACAUGUUUGGAUACACAAAAAAAGUUGGAUUUGAAUUUUAUUUGAAAUCCAAGACAUUCAGAUACUAGUAUAAAGCUGAGAAUUUGAAAUGACACCUCAAAUCAUGUCAUUUGGAAUCCAAAACUUCAAAUAAAAUACAGGUUCCCAAAUGCAAUCUAAAUGAAUUCUAAAAGUUCACCAGCUUACUUGCGAAACAUCAUCUUCUCCAACAACACCAAAUGGUAUAAUUUUGGCUCCAAAUCUAGCAGCCAUCCUGAUGACCUCCGAUUGUUCUGGCCAAAAUAACUUGUAUUCCUCACCCUUGAGAAAUGUAGAGUAAAACAUUAGUCCAAAAUGCUCAUUUAUUCCAUUUCUUUAACCAUGCAUAUGUGUAAUUGUGUAAAUAAGGAAAAGAAGACGGGACAUACUCAACAAUAUUCAUAUUAGUUGGCUAUUAAAAGAAAAGCUAUAAUUUAUGUUUGACUCAGUAAGAUUUUUAGUUGGAUUUCAUGUUAGCUGGUGAAUAUAUUUCUUUCUUUCUGAUGCUUUCAUUUUAACCAUGUUUUUUAUUUAUUAUAUGCUGAUAUCAGACUAAACAUUAGCAUGUAGAAGGUUAUGGUCUCCAUCAAAAUUUUCAUGCCUGCAUAAAUUUCCUUCAGGGCCAAGGUCUACUAGGGUUGAUAUUGAAUGUCCCAGCCAUGUAUUCUAUAACUAGCAUAAAGGUCGCUUAAAGUUUACCUUUCGAUGAAAAGCCUCACGAAGGCCUCCUGGAUAGAGCAGGACAUGAGAAUUUAGAGACAAAAGUCUGUAUAAGUUGGUUGGUGAUACAGGAACAGCACCCAUAACUCUUAUAAAAUCAAAUACUGAUAAAUCAAGCAUGUUCUCUUGCAACUUCUUGAACAUAAAUGGAUGUGCUAUUGCUCGGAGAUGUAUAUCAUGGUCAAUCCAAAAGCGACUUCCCAGAGGUAAUAGUUCAAGUCCCAACAUCAUGUGAUUCCCAGUUAAUAUGACCGGGCCUUUGGAUGGAAUACCUGCAAGGCCCCUCACAAUCUUCCCAUUCUCUAAUGUUGACAGCCUUACUGGACUAGUAAUCUUCUCUAUGAAGCUGAUUUUCAUCAUUAUUCGCAAAAGAAUAUAAGAUCAAUUCAAGUAUAUCCUACUUAAACUCAAGAUUUUUCAAAUUCUCCUAAUAGUUACUAACAUUAGAGUGAUCAUCAGAGUAUUAAUAUAAGGGUUAAUAGGCAAAAAGAUCACUGAACUCAUGGCCAACUUGCAAUUUGGUCACUGAACUCAAAAAGUUUGCAAAUGGAUCACAAAACUAGAUUUAACUUGCAGUCAACUCACUGAACUAAUAAAAGGUUGCAUUUAGGUCACAGCGCCGUUAAAUAUGAGUUGACUUUAACGGAAUCCGUUAAAAAAAUAAAAAAAAAUCAGUUUUUUAAAAAAUUAUUAAAACUUAAAAAAAAUCUGAAAAUUUUGAAAAAACUUUAAAAAAUAUGAAAAAAUGUAAAAACUUUAAAAAAAAUCCAAAAAUUUUGAAAAAAUUUAAAAAAUCUCGAAACUCAAAAAAUAUACCUAAUAUUUGAAAUUAAAAAAAUUUCAGAAUUUUUUCUAAAUUUCCAUAUAUUUUUUUGAAGUUUUAAAAUUUCAAAAAAUUUAGAUUUUUUUGAAGUUCUUACAUUUUUUCCAUAUUUUUAUAAACUUACAUAUUUUUUUAAAAUUUUCAGAUUUUUUUUAAGUUUUCAAAAUUUUUCAAAGAAAAAUGAAAUUUCAUAUUUGUUUUCAAAGUUUUUUAUUAUUAUUUUUUAUAUUUUUUAACGGAUUCCGUUAAAGUCAACUCAUACUUAACGGCGCUGUGACCUAAAUGCAACCUUUUAUUAGUUCAGUGAGUUGACUGCAAGUUAAAUCUAGUUCUGUGAUCUAUUUGCAAACUUUUUGAGUUCAGUGACCCAAUUGCAAGUUGGCCAUGAGUUCAGUGAUCUUUUUGCCUAUUAACCCAUUAAUAUAAUGCAUUUAAAUAGAACAAGGACUAUUUAGCAAAAAAAAAAAAAAUAGAACAAGGACAAAUAUAAGAAAUAAGCACAUCAGCUGUGAUAUUGUGUCGGAUAUCAGUUACCUGGUAGAUUCAUAUAAUUUCUUGAGUUCGGAAGGACUUGGGGGCAAAUAAUCUGAUACAUAAUCACGGUAUCUUUGACGGCGAUAAAAACUGCUCCCAAUUAUAAUAGUAACCAAGUCAAUAGCACUUUCCUGUUGGAUUUGAUAACAUCAUAGCCUGUCAAUUAUAUGCGUGUAACAUGACAUACUGAGUUCAAUUAUGUAGAUCCAAUGUAAAAGGGUUAACAUGACAUACUGAGUUCAAGUAUAUGCUUAUUAUACAUAUAGAGAAUAAGAGAAAACCUCUCAUACCAAGAAAAGAGCAUGACCACUGUCAUCAAAACAUCGAAUCUCACAUAUUGGCAGAAUCUUCUUAAGUCUUUCAGCUUCCUCUUGACUUGGUAGUAGCCGAUCCUUUCCACUGAAGACAUUAUACCAGAAUUCGAAUCAGAAUUCAGGUUACUGCUAUUUCUAUAGAAACUUUGAAAACAUUUGAAUCAGGUUUUUGUAAAAUUUAAAUUCUAGUAAACAUAAAAGUUCUGGUGAUUUUGAUGAAUACACUUUUUAACUACAAAAUUCAAUAGAGUAUGAAUUGUGUUAGAGGAAUGACCUGGAGAGUAUUAAUGUCUGAGCUUUUACAGCAUGAAGACGUGAAUUAGCAAAUGCACUUGCUGAGCUAACCAGCUUCACCUUCCAGAGAAGUGUUUUAGCAGAUAAAACAUCUGACAGGACCUGGUGUUGAACAAAUUUGUACUAUCAGAAUGGAAGAGCAGAAAUGAGAUUUGAAAAAUAACUAUAAGAAAAAUCUAAAUAAGUGCAAUACUUCAAGCCACAAAAGGGGCUUGUGUGUCAUAUCCACGUCAAAAACAGAGUGCUACCUAUUUUACAAGUUUAAUCCUCUUAUGCAUGACCAAUUUAAAAGAAAUAAUCAAAAUUCACAAUAUAUGCCAAGUACAAGGAGUUAAUUAUAGCUAGAUCAAUUAGUCUUGCUCAGUGUCAAGAUCAUACAGAGAGGUAUGAUGAUAAUGAUAUGGCUCCUUCAGACAUUUCUCCGAUUGUCUGUUGCAGUGGAAGUCUUUUCUCCAAAGUAGCCAUCACCAGCUUUGAAGGACUAUCUGUGUGCAGGUGUAACAGUUUUAUCAGGUUCAGAAGUUGAUUUUACAGUAAACAGUUAGUGAUUAUCCUCUGAAGCCGAAGAAGAUACAACAACACAUCCAAUUAUCUUUUUAAUCAAUUCUUUCACCCUCAGAAGAACAUGGCACACUUGUUACCUAAUGAACAUCAAGGAAGAAAAGCUUUUCUUAAUUUCUCUAUUUACUUGUUAGUGAGAAUGGAACAC
rnacentral:lncRNA from 1 species